rnacentral:rRNA from 1 species
UACGGAGGGAGCAAGCGUUACUCGGAAUUAUUGGGCGUAAAGGGCGCGUAGGCGGCUUGACAAGUCCCGGGUGAAAUCCCUCGGCUCAACCGAGGAACUGCCUUGGAAACUGUCUGGCUUGAGGCCGGGAGAGGGUAGUGGAAUUCCCAGUGUAGCGGUGAAAUGCGUAGAUAUCAGGAGGAACACCGGUGGCGAAGGCGGGUCUCUGGGCAGUAACUGACGCUGAGGAGCGAAAGCGUGGGGAGCGAACAGG